ACGAACGCUGGCGGCAGGCCUAACCCAUGCAAGUCGCGCGAGGACUUCGGUCCUAGCGGCGGACGGGUGAGUAACGCGUGGGAACGUGCCCUUUGCUUCGGAAUAGCCCUGGGAAACUGGGAGUAAUACCGGAUGAGCCCUUUGGGGGAAAGAUUUAUCGGCGAAGGAUCGGCCCGCGUUGGAUUAGGUAGUUGGUGGGGUAAUGGCCUACCAAGCCGACGAUCCAUAGCUGGUUUGAGAGGAUGAUCAGCCACACUGGGACUGAGACACGGCCCAGACUCCUACGGGAGGCAGCAGUGGGGAAUCUUAGACAAUGGGGGAAACCCUGAUCUAGCCAUGCCGCGUGAGCGAUGAAGGCCUUAGGGUUGUAAAGCUCUUUCAGCUGGGAAGAUAAUGACGGUACCAGCAGAAGAAGCCCCGGCUAACUCCGUG
rnacentral:rRNA from 1 species